CACUUUCAGGGUAUAAAAACAGGACUGUUUAGUAACACAGCUACACCGGGAGGACGAUCCAUGCAGACACUGCUUAUUGCUUUUAUCUGAACUCAUCACGUUAUUACGUCAUGGGUGCUUCUGAUUCUCGACAGUGUGAAGUUGUCUUUAUGAAUUACAGCAGGAACUACACGCUGCGCAACGCCAGAGUACAUUUGGAGAGUGGACAAUAUGACACUGCUAUGCCUUCAACACUGCGCACUUCUGAAUAUGGCAGCGCUGUGUUUUCUAAGACGGCUGGCGCAGCGCGUGGAUGUGUUGGAGUCGUCACCUACGAUCUUUACAAUGAAUCUACAAAGCGAGCUGAUAAGAAAAUCGCUGGCAUGUUCUCUGUUCCUUUCGAUUAUAACCUGUACUACAUCUGGCAUGGAAUCGGAGUCUUUCCCAUCAACACACAAUGUAAUUCUUGUCUGUUUGACAUUAUGAAAAACAAUGAACAGCGAGGGUUUGUCAGAGGAAGAGCUGAGGGUCCCACUCUUACUUACAGAGAUAAUGAUGUUACCCUUACUUCCUCCAUCACAAACUGUAGUCGAGCGACUAUGACAGUGGAAGUGCGCAACCGAUAGUAGACAGUCUAAUAAUGGAGAAAAGAGAGUGAUGGGUUUUUGCUUUGUUCUUUGGUAUAAGCUUCAGGCGAUCAUUUGUUUUUAGUGGUUUAUCAAGACAAAGACAUUAAAGUGGCAAUUAAAAUGGCAUCGACAUUAAAACUAGGAGGUCAGUGAUAUAGAACCUCACUCAGCACAAUACGUCAGAAUUCAUAACUUAUUGUCCAAAAAGUGACAAAUAUAACCCUGAGCACAGUUUGGGUGAAGACCCAUUAGAUGAGUAUUGUAUGUAAGGUUGAUUAUAUUCAAACCAAUAGUGUGGGAGAAGAAGCAGUUCUGGUGUAAUCGUGAAACAGAAAACAAUUAUCAACAAUGAAGGAAAUUUGGAUCUUCUGUAAUGUGGAAGUCUUUUCCACAGUUUGACAUUAACUGCUAAACAGUGAAGAGGAGUUAAAACAGGAAUUUGGGAAAGAGUAUUUCAAAUUAUUCCUAUGAUUCAAUUGUUUCAUGCAAAAAUAAACUCAUAACUACUUUUGUUCUAUUAGAAGAAAUGUCCCCGAUACAACAAAAACUAUGUGAUGGUUUGUCUGCAGAUCACUGAAUAUGAACAAUAAAGA